rnacentral:rRNA from 1 species
AUGAACGCUAGCGGCAGGCUUAACACAUGCAAGUCGAGGGGCAACACGGGUAGCAAUACCUGGUGGCGACCGGCGCAAGGGUGCGUAACGCGUGAGCAACAUACCCUAUACAGGGGGAUAAUCCAGGGAAACUUGGUCUAAUAUCCCAUAGGAUUUACAGAUGUCAUCAUCUAUAAAUUAAAGCUUCGGUGGUAUAGGAUUGGCUCGCGUGACAUUAGCUAGAUGGUGGGGUAACGGCCUACCAUGGCCAUGAUGUCUAGGGGUUCUGAGAGGAAGACCCCCCACACUGGGACUGAGACACGGCCCAGACUCCUACGGGAGGCAGCAGUGAGGAAUAUUGGACAAUGGAUGGAAAUCUGAUCCAGCCAUGCCGCGUGCAGGAAGACGGCCCUAUGGGUUGUAAACUGCUUUUAUAUGGGAGCAAUAAGGUCUACGCGUAGACCGAUGAGAGUACCAUAUGAAUAAGCAUCGGCUAACUCCGUG